UCUCUGAUUUCUAUACCGCUGCAAAAACAAAAACCCUACCACCGCCAACAACGCCACGCCGGCGGUACCACAAACUAAACUCGACACCAUUAACACCUUCCGCGCGUGAUCAUCACCGCCGCCGGUACUCCACGACGGAUCGCUGAAGUUUCUCGCCUCCGGCAGUGGCUGUGUGGUUGACGACGCUCCGCUGCCGAAGAAUGAUGACAUCUGUGGUGACGCUGCUUGCGCCGUUUCCGGCGAAUCGGCGCCGUUAGUUAGUCCGUGAUCCGACGGCCGGAGUUCCUUGCCGUCUGAUUGUUUGAUGAUUGAAAUUGAAAUUCCGAUUAGUGGUAGGUAGAGUGCCAUUAGUAUGCACCGGUGCCACCGGUUCUUCAUCUCGAAAGUUUCUGUUUUGGUUUCGUUGCUUUUUCGCCUCUUUAUUGCCGGUUUGAUGAAAUGAUAAAGGGGCAACUUUAAAUAGCUUCUUUAAGAAGGUGUUUUUGUGUACCUUCUUUUUUGAAACAAUGUGUGAAUACUAUAAAAAAUCAAAAUAUUUAUU
rnacentral:lncRNA from 1 species